rnacentral:lncRNA from 1 species
GAGGAUACUAUGGAAGGUCGACUACUGGAGGAGUCCAGAUGGUACUGUGGAAGCUCGGAUGGCUGGGGGAGUUCAGAAAGAUGCCGCACAAGGUCAGAAGCCUGAAGAGUCCUGGGAGGGUUGGCCUCUUACGAACUUCGAUUGGGGUUAUUUUAUACCCAACACUAGUCUCCCUACUUUCAAGUUCGGGUUUCGAAUGAAG